UGAAGGGGCCUCUGUAAUGAUGCUGGU
rnacentral:piRNA from 1 species